GUGCUCAUUUCAGCAGCACAUAUACUAAAAUUGGAUUGAUACAGAGAAGAUUAUUAUGGCCCCUGUGCAAGGAUGACACACAAAUUUGUGAAGCAUUCCAUAUUUUU
rnacentral:snRNA from 1 species